UGGCAAUGCCAAAACGUUGAAGAUUGAUUACUGUUUUUUUUUUUAGCAACAAGUACAAGUAAUA
rnacentral:sRNA from 1 species